rnacentral:miRNA from 1 species
UUGAGGGGAAUCUGGGACAGCUCAGGCAAGUCCUUGCCUUUUCUCUGCCAUCUUGGCUCUGUUCCCUAUAUGC